UGCCCCUUUUCUUUGACACCUGUCACCUGUUUCAUACAACCCAAAAAACCUAAAAUCAUCAGUUAACCAUCACUCGUUCUAUAAACCAGACCUAAAUGGAAUAGUUCUAUGUUUUUCUCGCAUUUCUCCCGUUCUAAAUUUUCAAGUGUUUGUGAUUCCAAAAUUGUUUUUGUGUAUUCGUUGUCUUAAAGCAAAAAUGUUUCCCUAUAAACCCAACAUUUUGGCCAAAACCAACGAAGGAUCUCCAGAGGAGAGCUUCAACGGAGAUCAAUUAACAGCUACUCUUCCUUGUGGCUGUUGCGGCCCCCAGCAGGAGAUUCAAGGAAAUGUGAGAAAAACAUAAACUAAGUUAACUUUGAAAAAGAAAACAUGGCCAGUACAAAGAUCGUUUCUGGUCAUAUCAAAAAGAAAUACAGAUACAUUUCAUUUAGUUACUUGGACUCCUUAAAACACCAAAAGGAUUCCUAUUACUUGGACUCUAAAUAUGCUUGCAGGAUUUACUCGGAUUCUCAUUAACUAGGCUGUUUACUCGGAUUUUCCUCUAAUUCAAGGACUUGACUUCACUCGCCACAUGUACAUAUAUAAGUUGCAGAUAGUUGGGAAUAUUCCAGUCACCAACAAGAAAAUAUAUUAUAUUCUAUAUUGCCCGUAUGAAUUUACAACUACGAUAACUGACCUUUCAAAUGGAUUUCAGAACUUUAUGAUUAUUAGUUGAAUUAUUAUUAAAAUAGCCAUUGCCUCACA